rnacentral:rRNA from 1 species
AUGGGAACAUCAAUACAGACAUUUAUGAACACUGUCAAGGUUAUUUUCGAGGAGAAUACCACUGAAAAAGUUGGAGCCUCUGUCAAAAUAUUAACAUGUGGCAGGUUGCUCUAUAUAUAUCCAUAUAAAAGAGGAUUCGUGUUACAUUAUAGCCGGCAAACGAGGCCAGACGUGUGCUCCUUGCUGCCAGCUCCGCCCUCCUCCACCCUAUCUCCUCGGAACGGGCAGCUCCAUCCAUCGGUACCUAGAAGCACAGAGGUUCGCCUCUACCACGAUGGCCACAUCACUGCAACCGAAACUCCACCAUUGUCCAGCCACCGACCCAGUGCAGCUCGACUCAAUCUGGACCGUAACCUCUCUGGGUGUUAG